rnacentral:rRNA from 1 species
UGCCAGCCGCCGCGGUAAUACGGAGGGUGCAAGCGUUAAUCGGAAUUACUGGGCGUAAAGCGUGCGUAGGCGGCUCGCUAAGUCGGAUGUGAAAGCCCCGGGCUUAACCUGGGACGUGCAUUCGAUACUGGCGAGCUUGAGUUUGGAAGAGGUUGGCGGAAUUCCCGGUGUAGCGGUGAAAUGCGUAGAGAUCGGGAGGAACAUCAGUGGCGAAGGCGGCUGACUGGUCCAAAACUGACGCUGAGGCACGAAAGCGUGGGGAGCAAACAGGAUUAGAUA